GGUCUGUAGCUCAGUUGGUUAGAGCGCACCCCUGAUAAGGGUGAGGUCGGAAGUUCAAAUCUUCCCAGACCCACCACCUU
rnacentral:tRNA from 1 species